GUUCCUCGAUUCGACGGCAUGACCGCGAUCAGCUGGCAUUGUUAAUGAUCACAGAGAAACAGUCUAUCAUCCGAGACUUGGUCCACGAUCACAGACACAUUGUCAAUGAUCGCAGAGACUUUGUCCAUAAUCUCAGAGACAUUGUCCGCGAUCACAGAGAGUCUUCGAACACUGACGUUCUUUGAGACCAGGACAGAGGCCUCCAGGUGUCACCACUUGGUCCACGACAUCGACCACCAUCGCUGAGCCGUCGUCCAUGAUCAGAGAGACAUUGUUGAGGAUGAGGGAGACAUCGUCCACGAUCAGAGACAUUGUCCGUGACUCGUGGUGACUCGGUCCCCGAUUAGUCGGCACUGCCGGCGUUCAUGGUGACAUUGUCGAUGAUCGCAGAGACUUUGUCCAUAAUCUCAGAGACAUUGUCCGUGAUCACAGAGACACGGUCCAUGAUCGGAGUGACAUUGUUGAGGAUGAGGGAGACAUCGUCCACGAUCAGAGACGUUGUCCAUGGUCGCAGAGACCUUGUCAAAGAUGAGAGAGACGUUGUCCAUGGUCAGAGACAUUGUCGCUGCUUCGCAGAGCUCUGCGCAAGAAUCGGUAGUGACACUGUGGUUCCUCGAUUCGACGGCAUGACCGCGAUCAGCUGGCAUUGUUAAUGAUCACAGAGAAACAGUCUAUCAUCCGAGACUUGGUCCACGAUCACAGACACAUUGUCAAUGAUCGCAGAGACUUUGUCCAUAAUCUCAGAGACAUUGUCCGCGAUCACAGAGAGUCUUCGAACACUGACGUUCUUUGAGACCAGGACAGAGGCCUCCAGGUGUCACCACUUGGUCCACGACAUCGACCACCAUCGCUGAGCCGUCGUCCAUGAUCAGAGAGACAUUGUUGAGGAUGAGGGAGACAUCGUCCACGAUCAGAGACAUUGUCCGUGACUCGUGGUGACUCGGUCCCCGAUUAGUCGGCACUGCCGGCGUUCAUGGAGACAUUGUCGAUGAUCGCAGAGACUUUGUCCAUAAUCUCAGAGACAUUGUCCGUGAUCACAGAGACACGGUCCAUGAUCGGAGUGACAUUGUUGAGGAUGAGGGAGACAUCGUCCACGAUCAGAGACGUUGUCCAUGGUCGCAGAGACCUUGUCAAAGAUGAGAGAGACGUUGUCCAUGGUCAGAGACAUUGUCGCUGCUUCGCAGAGCUCUGCGCAAGAAUCGGUAGUGACACUGUGGUUCCUCGAUUCGACGGCAUGACCGCGAUCAGCUGGCAUUGUUAAUGAUCACAGAGAAACAGUCUAUCAUCCGAGACUUGGUCCACGAUCACGGACACAUUGUCAAUGAUCGCAGAGACUUUGUCCAUAAUCUCAGAGACAUUGUCCGCGAUCAGAGAGUCUUCUAACAAUGACGUUCUUUGAGACCAGGACAGAGGCGUCCAGGUGUCACCACUUCGUCCACGACAUCAUCCACAAUCGCUGAGAUGUCGUCCAUGAUUGGGACAUUGUUGAGGAUGAGGGAGACAUCGUCCACCGUAUAUGAUCUUAGAGACAUCGUCCACUAUCACAAAGAAUCUUCACACAAUGCAGAAGUUCUUUGAGACCAGGACAGGAAUUCACAACCAGCUUUACAUCAACUACUCAACACCGAGCACUGACAUUAAAUUGUUUAUGCUAAGUAUUCAGUGUAUCAGAAAAGUGUUAAAACAGAAGUAAUCUGCAAUGGAAAAAUAAUGUAUAAGUAAUCUGUAUUAAUAGAAAUGAUGUAAAAGUAAGUAGCAAUAUUAGCAGUAACAUGUAAUAGCCAAACUAAUUUUUUACCAGGUGUAUAAAAGAUUAAAAGUUAUCUGUAAGUUUAUAAUAUGUAAUAAGAAAAGUAAUGUAUAGUGGUUAAAGUAAUCUUAGUGGUAACAGUAAAAGUAAUCUUAAAAAUAAAGCAAUGCAGAAGUAAUAUUAGUCCAAAACAGAAAGAAAAAUGUCACAUUAUAAUAAGACAUCAAACAUGUUACAGUAUGUGGUCAGAAAUGUGAAAAUUGUCGUAGUAUAAUAAGGAAUCAAAAACAGAUGAAAAAUGUCAUAGUGUAGUAUGGUGUCAAAAUAUC